AUUGAACGCUGGCGGCAGGCUUAACACAUGCAAGUCGAGCGAGCGGCGGACGGGUGAGUAAUGUCUGGGAAACUGCCUGAUGGAGGGGGAUAACUACUGGAAACGGUAGCUAAUACCGCAUACCAUCAGAUGUGCCCAGAUGGGAUUAGCUAGUAGGUGGGGUAAUGGCUAACCUAGGCGACGAACCAUAGCUGGUCGGAGAGGAUGACCGGCCACACUGGAACCGAGACACGGUCCAGACUCCUACGGUAGGCAUCAGUGGGGAAUAUUGCGCAAUUGGCGCAAGCCUGAUGCAGCCAUGCCGCGUGUGUGAAGAAGGCCUUCGGUUUGUAAAGCACUUUCAUCGAGGUGGCGUUACUCACAGAAGAAGCACCGGCUAACUCCGUGCCAGCAGCCGCGGUAAUAC
rnacentral:rRNA from 1 species